rnacentral:misc_RNA from 1 species
GAUGAAGAACGUAGCGAAAUGCGAUAAGUAGUGUGAAUUGCAGAAUUCAGUGAAUCAUCGAAUCUUUGAACGCACAUUGCGCCUCCUGGUAUUCCGGGAGGCAUGCCUGUUCGAGCGUCAUUAAAAUCACUCAAGCUUAGGUUUGCCUAUUGCUUGGUCUUGAAGAUGGAAGCUAAGUAAUUAGAAUCCUCUUCGAAAUCCAAUGGCGAAGACCCUUGCUCUCCCAAGUGUAGUAAUAACUUAUUCACUGAAGGAAGCGAGUAAUCUUCCGCCGUAACCCCCAUAUUUUCUAUGAUUGACCUCGGAUCAGGUAGGGAUACCCGCUGAACUUAAGCAUAUCAUAGCGGAGGA